UGGGGAACUUUGGACAAUGGGCGCAAGCCUGAUCCAGCCAUGCCGCGUGCAGGAUGAAGGCCUUCGGGUUGUAAACUGCUUUUGUACGGAACGAAAAGACUCCUUCUAAUAAAGGGGGUCCAUGACGGUACCGUAAGAAUAAGCACCGGCUAACUACGUGCCAGCAGCCGCGGUAAUACGUAGGGUGCGAGCGUUAAUCGGAAUUACUGGGCGUAAAGCGUGCGCAGGCGGUUAUAUAAGACAGAUGUGAAAUCCCCGGGCUCAACCUGGGAACUGCAUUUGUGACUGUAUAGCUAGAGUACGGCAGAGGGGGAUGGAAUUCCGCGCGUAGCAGUGAAAUGCGUAGAUAUGCGGAGGAACACCGAUGGCGAAGGCAAUCCCCUGGGCCUGUACUGACGCUCAUGCACGAAAGCGUGGGGAGCAAACA
rnacentral:rRNA from 1 species